UACGUAGGGGGCAAGCGUUGUCCGGAUUUAUUGGGCGUAAAGAGCGUGUAGGCGGUUAGGUAGGUCCGUUGUGAAAACUCGAGGCUCAACCUCGAGACGCCGAUGGAAACCAUCUAACUAGAGUCCGGAAGAGGAGAAUGGAAUUCCUGGUGUAGCGGUGAAAUGCGCAGAUAUCAGGAAGAGCACCCGUGGCUAAGGCGGUUCUCUAGUACGGUACUGACGCUGAGACGCGAAAGCGUGGGGAGCGAACAGG
rnacentral:rRNA from 1 species